rnacentral:rRNA from 1 species
GCAACCUGCCUGUAAGUUGGGGAUAACUCCGGGAAACCGGGGCUAAUACCGAAUGAUAAAGUGUGGCGCAUGCCACGCUUUUGAAAGAUGGUUUCGGCUAUCGCUUACAGAUGGGCCCGCGGUGCAUUAGCUAGUUGGUAGGGUAAUGGCCUACCAAGGCAACGAUGCAUAGCCGACCUGAGAGGGUGAUCGGCCACACUGGGACUGAGACACGGCCCAGACUCCUACGGGAGGCAGCAGUAGGGAAUCUUCCGCAAUGGACGAAAGUCUGACGGAGCAACGCCGCGUGUAUGAAGAAGGUUUUCGGAUCGUAAAGUACUGUUGUUAGAGAAGAACAAGGAUAAGAGUAACUGCUUGUCCCUUGACGGUAUCUAACCAGAAAGCCACGGCUAACUACGUGCCAGCAGCCGCGGUAAUACGUAGGUGGCAAGCGUUGUCCGGAUUUAUUGGGCGUAAAGCGCGCGCAGGCGGUCUUUUAAGUCUGAUGUGAAAGCCCCCGGCUUAACCGGGGAGGGUCAUUGGAAACUGGAAGACUGGAGUGCAGAAGAGGAGAGUGGAAUUCCACGUGUAGCGGUGAAAUGCGUAGAUAUGUGGAGGAACACCAGUGGCGAAGGCGACUCUCUGGUCUGUAACUGACGCUGAGGCGCGAAAGCGUGGGGAGCAAACAGGAUUAGAUACC